rnacentral:lncRNA from 8 species
ACCCCCUCUUUUUCAUAUGGUCCUUCAAUCUCUCUCUCUCACUCUCACUCUCUCUGUCACUCUCUCUCUCUCUGUCUCUCUCUCUCACUCUCUGUCACUCUCUCUCUCUCUGUCUCUCUCUCUCACUCUCUGUCACUCUCUCUCUGUCUCUGUCUCUCUCAGGAGUCAUCUGCCGCUGUCAUCCUUGCUGUGGUGUCACUCCUGAGGAUCUGUAACGGCCACUCCCCCUCACCCGAGAGCAAGGCUGCUAUUGGCUGUAGCAAAGCAUCCACCAACCUGAUUGGCUGCAGCAAGGUCCAGAGGUGUGGCCUAGACUCCCUGGCUAGCCUUAGCACCUGCCCUGGUGAGAAUCCAGACUCUGGGAGCGUGUUCAGGAAUACAAUCAUGUUUAAAAGUGUAAAUAAUACAUUUUAAAAAAAGCGUUGUUGUUUUAGGAGCUGUGGAACGGGUGGUGGAGGUGUUCCAUGUUCUAGUGCAGAACCUACAGAACCCUGACUCAGACCCCACCGUGAGACGCACCUUACAAACAGCCAACCACAACAUCUAACUCAGUUUGGUUUCUCUUCCGCUGGCUAGUUUCCUAGUUGAUUAAUGACCACUGUGUGUGUGUUCCUUCUUUCGUACUGUCUCCUGUGUUCAGGUGCUCCAGAAGAACUACCAGGCCAUGUUGAGGUGGCUUCGUGUGUCUGCAGAGUCUUCCUCACUGGCUGAUCUGGUCAAUGAAGACCUCCUUCCCGUGCUAAAGAAGCGUGUGUGUGAUGUGCGUUGGGAGGUUCUAGACUCCACUCUAGAGUUCCUCGGCCAGCUGUGUGAGGCGUUAAGCUGCACGGUCACUCCUAUCCUGCUGGAGGCGCUGUGUGAUCAGGAGAGCUAUGUGAGGGCUAGUGCCAUCUCUGCCCUGGCCAGGACUCUACCACUCAGUGACCAGCAGGGGGAGCCAGGGAACCAGACACAGGUGAGACUCUGACCUACACAUUUCAUUUACUGUAUAACGGAUGCCCCGCUUCACAUUUCUCAAUAUACAUACAUACAUACAUACAUACAUACAUACAUACAUACAUACAUACAUACAUACAUACAUACAUACAUACAUACAUACAUACAUACAUAUAUUCUUUUUUUUUUUAUUAAGAUUUGUUUAAUUCGUAUAAAUCUAAUCUUUUAAACAAUACAUUUUGACGAAUCAAAUGAUUCGAUUCACCAUUGUAGUAGUUGGAAUUCGGUUCAAUCGCAGUGAAUCGAAUCAAAAAUAAUAAUUAGUGAAUCGCAAACAGUAAAAGGACAAAAUAGCAGCUGUCGUCUUUGUGUUGAUACUCUAGUGGACAGAGAGUUGAUGGGACACGUGGAUGAUACUAGUCAGUCUGGAGUCAACACUUCCAUGGUCAGAUAUACUGUGUACUGUCAGAUAUACUGUGUACUGAGCCUUCAGAGAGGACUGUCCAAUCCAUGGUCAGAUAUACUGUGUACUGUCAGAUAUACCGUGUACUGUCAGAUAUACUGUGUACUGAGCCUUCAGAGAGGACUGUCCAAUCCAUGGUCAGAUAUACUGUGUACUGUCAGAUAUACUGUGUACUGAGCCUUCAGAGAGGACUGUCCAAUCCAUGGUCAGAUAUACUGUAUACUGAGACUUCAGAGAUAUACUGUGUACUGUCAGGUAUACUGUGUACUGUCAGAUAUACUGUGUACUGAGCCUUCAGAGAGGACUGUCCAAUCCAUGGUCAGAUAUACUGUGUACUGUCAGAUAUACUGUGUACUGUCAGAUAUACUGUGUACUGAGCCUUCAGAGAGGACUGUCCAAUCCAUGGUCAGAUAUACUGUGUACUGAGCCUUCAGAGAUAUACUGUGUACUGUCAGAUAUACUGUGUACUGUCAGAUAUUGCCUAGUUAAAUAAAGGUUAAAUAAAAAAUGAAAUGCCUUUUGUUAUGGCAAGCCUAAAUAAGUUCAGGAGUCAAAAUAUGUUUAAUAAGUUGCAUGUGAUGGGAGAAAACUGAGGAUGGAUCAACAUCAUUGUAGUUACGCCACAAUAGUAACCUUAAUGACAGAGUGAAAAGAAGGAAGUCUGUACAUAAUAUAUAUAUAUAUAUAUAUAUAUUCCAAAACAUGCAUCCUGUUUGCAACAAGGCAAAAAAUGUGGCAAAGCAAGUCCCUUUUUGUUCUGAAUACAAAGUGUUACGUUUGGGGCAAAUCCAGUUCAACACAUUACUGAGUACCACUCUCCAUAUUUUCAAGCAUAGUGGUGGCUGCAACAUGUUAUGGGUAUGCUUGCAGUCGUUAAGGACUGGGGAGUUUUUCAGGAUAAAAAAUAAACAGAAUGGAGCUAAGCACAGGCAAAAUCCUAGAGGAAAAGCUGGUUCAGUCUGCUUUCCACCAGACACUGGGAGAUGAAUUCACCUUUCAGCAGGACAAUAACCUAAAACACAAGGCCAAAUCUGCACUGGAGUUGUUUACCAAGAAGACAGUGAAUGCUCCCGAGUGGCUUAGAUAGAUUUGACUUAAAUCUGCUUCAAAAUCUAUUUCAAGACCUGAAAAUGGUUGUCUAGCAAUGAUCAACAAACAAUUUGACAGAGCUUGAAGAAUUUUGAAAAGAAUAAUGGGUAAAUGUUGUACAAUCCAGGUGUGCAAAGCUCUUAGAGAGACUCACCCAGAAAGACUCAAAGCUGUAAUCACUGCAAAAGGUGAUUCGAACAUGUAUUGACUCAGGGGUGUGAAUACUUAUGUAAAUGAGAUAUUUCUGUAUUUCAUUUUCAAAGAAUUUGCAAAGAAAUCUAGAAAACAUGUUUUCACUUUGUCAUUAUGGGGUAAAUAACGUCCACUUGACAAAAAGUGUCGUCCUCUACGUGUCGCAGUGGGAUUUGAUAAGCUAUUAGCGGCCGUUGCUAUAUCAACGGUGUGACGACCUAACGCUUCGAAUUUCAAAAUGACAUUAUUUUCAUCCCCGCUGUGUAAACAAAGCUGAUUUCCUCAACAAUUUCACUGCUUCAAAUAGUUUGGUUUAGCUAAUAAGAUGAAAACAUUACUUCAAACGACUUUUGUUACCGUUUCAACAUCAUGAAAUCCAUGUCUUAAACGUUGCUAUGUUUUCUGAAAUAGCAAAGUGUGUAAUCUGCUUGAUAUGUUGUUACUUACCUCACAGAUCACAAAGUCCGCUCAUUUCCUCUCCAUUCAUAUACAAGUCUGUUUGAUUCAUUCACUGGCUUGUCUGGCUGUCAUGCAUUUAUUUAGAGGUUUCCCUGGUCUGUCUACUCUGAGAUAAUAAUUAUAACAAUAAUAUUUCAGUUAGUUCUCUAUGAUGGUUGUUGUAUAUGUCACAUAGCUCAUUAGCAUUACCCUUGUGGUGUAAUAUAUAUAUAUAUAUAUAUAUGUACAUACUGUAGGUCCUAGGAUACAACCAUGAAUAAUGUUGAACUAACAAAAUACCAUCAAGGGAUACCUUACAGUUUACAACAAUCAACACCUCAUGAAACAGCUGUUUUUCCCCCCCCAGACCUCAAAAGUGGUCUUCUGAUGUGGUUAAAGCAUUUUUCUGGACUUAUAACAUACAUUAUUUUGGUACUUUUAUACAAAAGUACCUGGAAAAAUCAAACCGAGAAAACAUAAUUUGAGGAGAAAAUCGAUUGGAUUUUAUAGACCCCCUAUACUGCCUUGUUCAGAGGCAGAACAACAGAUUUUUACCUUGUCGGCUCGGGGAUUCGAUCUAGCAACCUUUCGGUUACUAGUCCAACGCUCUAAGCACUAAGCUACCUGCUGCCCCCGUGAGCUUGCUUCAGCUGUCAAAACAUAUUGUAUGGGAGUGGAUAUGUGGUAAAUAUAGAAUACACUAGAAGCUGAAGAAGUUCAUUAACAAUAGCUCUUCUGCUAUAUAUUUUAGCACAUCAAUUAUGAACAAUCAUAGAUCUAUGCCUCUGAAAAAUGUACUGUGACUAAAACUGGGCUGGGACAUGCUUCCAAUGGUUCUGUCCAACACCUGGUACCAGUGUAGUAGUUUAGGAGGGGGAGGGGGGAGUACGCCUCCAAUGGUUCUGUCCAACACCUGGUACCAGUGUAGUAGUUUAGGAGGGGGAGGGGGGGUACGCCUCCAAUGGUUCUGU